rnacentral:rRNA from 1 species
UACGAGUGCUCCAAGCGUUAUCCGGAAUUAUUGGGCAUAAAGGGUGCGUAGGCGGCUUGUUAAGUCAGGGGUGAAAGUUUUCGGCCCAACCGGAAAAUUGCCUUUGAUACUGGCGAGCUGGAGUGCGUGAGGGGUGACCGGAACGAGUGGUGUAGCGGUGAAAUGCGUAGAUAUCACUCGGAAGGCCAACGGCGAAGGCAGGUCACUGGUGCGCAACUGACGCUGAGGCACGAAAGCGUGGGGAGCAAACAGGA